CCACCCACCCCACUACCAGCUCCGCCGCCGCCGAGCCCAGCACCCGCUCCGAUUUCUGUUCCUGGCGGCGCACCACCCAAUCCCGGCGCCUAGUCGCCGGCUCGCCGCUCCCUCCCGCAGACGCGCCCCACCACCGAUGCUGGUUUCUGUUUUGCAGCUCGGGAUUUGAUCGGUUCCAUUCCCGACUCCGUAGCUCCCAUCGGCGCUCCGCGACGUCGCUCGGUCCUCCCGUCGCCGUCGCCCCUAGGAGAGUACCUGCUGACGGCACCCAGAUCCUGCGACCCUAUCCUCCUUGGGCCUGCCUUUCCUUAGCACGCCCCUCCAUCUCCGGUUGCUCGCAUCCACCCGAACACCGACCGGCGAUUCAAGUUCAUCCGCUGCAGAUUCGUGCCGGUCCGCGCUGAUUCGUCAUCCUCCACACGAGGUCCUACCCCGCUCAAGCUACCCCCGACGCCUGCUCAAUAUUGGAUAAAUCGCUGGUGAUUCCCCUACCGGCGCAAGGCCACGCUGUGUGGAUCGAGGACGCGAACGACAGCAGCCAUUUUCGGCCUGGAAGCUUGCUCACCCUCACCUGAGCUGUCGAAUCAUUGGGGAUGUCCUCUCCAGAUGCAUAAGGUAUCAGAUCGAGUUGGAUUUCAGCACCAAGAAUUGCACCUGCUGCAUUCAAAGCGAAGGCAUCACAGUUUGGCUAGUGCUGGAUCUAGAUCUCAGCCUUGGCCUCGGUGAAAUGCAAGGUAGCGAGGAUGCCGGCCAUGGGAAUCCCGUCAUGCUCCACACUCACGGACAGAGCUGCACCGUACAGACGCAGAUUCGUCUGCAAUUGAGAUCGAGUACACAUGCUGGAUGGAGGAUUUAAGCUAGCAGCACAUUGAGCCAGAUCUCAUUUGGUAUUGGAGCUCAAUGUAUCUGCACAUCUAUUUGGAUGCAUUGAUACUUGAAUGGGGACUGCACCUAGUUUAGGGUAAAUCUCAUGUGCCAGAUGCUUUUGACAAUACCAACUGUGAGCAUUGAAUUGUGAUCUCGAUGUAACCAAGCCUUCUGCAUGCAUUGAACUGUGAGUACUGCCUCUAAUUAAAUCCACCUAUGAAUGGAAAUACUGCUGCAUACGCAUAUCCUUGUGGGAAUUAUUUUUUUAAUUGAAUACUACUUCAACUCAUGCAGUAAACGGUGGAGUACAUUGUUGAUCCCAUUUGCUUUGCUAACUGAACUAGCCUUUGGUUAGUUUUCUGAAAUCUUCCUGUCAGUUUAGAAAAUAAUAUUGGUUUACCGUAUAGGUAAUUCAGUACCUAAUGCGAGUAGAUAUAUUUCCAAGAGCAAUUUUCUUUUGAUUUUUGUUUACACAACUGAUUCAUACCAGAUUGUAGGUUAAAGUGCAUUGGAAGUUCUGACAAUUUCCCUGUAUAUAUGUUCUUGCAGUAUAGCUGUAGACUUUAGCUAUGGAGUAGUGUUUAUGGCAAUGCUUUUCGCAAACAAAGUAUUUCUUAUGCAGGACAUUCACUCCAUGAUCCUGCUCACUGUACAGCAAAUAGCCACAUCGCUUCUGAUACAUUUUUGUCAAGUUCCAUGAAUGUCAAACAAAAAGACUCCAGCUUGAUAACAGCAAAGAAACUUCUUCUGGUGACAUUACCAACACAGAUCGAGCUUCUACUUCAACUGUAGUUUGUGCAAUCAUUUGGCAAUGACCAAUUUUGUUGCUAAUGGCAAAUGUAAUCUGAAUUUGAUGAUGUGCAGAGCAAGGAGAAGAAUAUUGGAAGGCCAUCAGGGAGGUUGCCAAGUGAAACAACAUGGGAUAUGCAAAAGGUUGUUGACUGGAGAGGGAUCGCAGGCCUGCCAGAUAGUUGCAGAUAGCUAGGCAUCUCUAUCUAAAUUGUGUGCACUAGCAUAGCAGUAGUAGUAGCAGUAGCAACGGAUAACCGUCAGCUCAUCAAUCAUGCCUGUGUUUGCUUGCCUGUGAUGGUUCAUGUCUUUCUGAGACAUCCAUUUGCCUGCCUGUGAUGUAAUCCUUUCUAAGCCUUGUGGUGUGAUGAUAUGUUCCGAAGAAAUCAUGCUUGUGCCAAGGCCGGUGUACUCAUGUUGUUCCUUCUCUUCACUUGUAUGGCAAUCAUUGGGUUGAUUCUAGAUUUAAGAUAUGCAAUUCUUUGCAGAUAAUGAUAUUUACAAUGUGAUAAUGGCAUUUGCAAA